CACCAACCUGUGUGAUCACGAGGUGUUGAAGAGAUCAGCAGGUCAAUGUGUAAUCCAUUACACCACCAGAGCUGUUCAAGAACGUACAAGGAAGGACAGAGGAAAGAGAGCAGUAAAGAGUAAAACCAAAACCAUCGUGUUGGAUCAGCAAUUACACGAGAAGACACAAAUGCCAGGACUGAAAAGGGCCAGGGAGUCUGCCUUGCUGCCGUGUUUUUAUAACUUCCUCAUGGAGGGACAUCCAUC